CCAACGCAUCCAUCCCCAGAGGAACAAGCGAGGAUCUCAGAGCGCGACCUGGACAGGCUCUCACAAAAGUCACCGCGUUUGUGUAGGUAACUAAGGCCUACCGAAACCAGUCAGCCCUAAGUGCACACAGGAGAACCAUGGAGUUGGAGGAAAAGUGUCUUGCCUUAGACGACGUUUGAGAAUUUGUCAGAACAGGGCCUGGAGGGAAUAAAAAGGAGGUGAGAAGUCUCUGUAGAGAUCAUCAACAUGGCCCAUCUCUCCUUAAAACAGGGAUGUGAAGACAAGACAUAUUAGCAGAGGUGGAUUUACUCUGAAACUGAUGAAGGUCCCAUACAGAGAGAAGAAACAGACAACCUGAAUCACAUUCAAAAGAGAGUCUCCACAAUAGUGAGGGCUGCAAAACCAGGUGACAUGAAAACCAAGAGAAUGAAUUACAUAGAUUUGUUUAACCUAAGGAAGAAAAGAUUCUGGACACGUGAGGGCCGAUUUUCAUUCCUCAGAGCUCUCUCCUUUGGAGGCUUCUUUGUUUGGGCCCCACUUCCAUUCUUCACAUUCAGCAGUUACUGGGAGACGACCUUACCAUGGCCUGUCCCUCCGUGUUCAUCCCAAUCGCAUCCAGAUGCCUCUCUGGCCUCAUCUCCUAGUGUUCCUGUGUCCGGAAUUGGUGGGUUCUUGGUCUCGCUAACUUCAACAAUGAAGCCUCGGACCCUGGCGGUGAGUGUUACAGUUCUUAAAGGCAGCGUGUCCGGAGUUUGUUCCUUCUGAUGUUUGGAUGUGUUCGGAGUUUCUUCCUUCUGGUGGGUUCAUGGUCUCCUUGGCUCAGGAGUGAAGCUGCAGACCUUCGCGGUGAGUGUUACAGCUCUUAAGGCGGCGCGUCUGGAGUUGUUCGUUCCUCCCGGUGGAUUCGUGGUCUCGCUGGCUUCAGGAGUGAAGCUGCAGACGUUCGUGGUGUUAUAGCUCAUAAAGGCAGUGUGGACCCAAAGAGUGAGCAGUAGCAAGAUUUAUUGCAAAAAGCGA
rnacentral:lncRNA from 10 species